rnacentral:rRNA from 1 species
GAUGAACGCUGGCGGUAUGCCUAACACAUGCAAGUCGUACGAGAGUUUUUAACUCUAGUGGCGGACGGGUGAGUAACACGUGAGAAUUUGCCUUUAGGAGGGGGACAACAAUCGGAAACGAAUGCUAAUACCCCAUAUGCUUUCGAGUGAAAUGGAUUUUAUCCGCCUAGAGAGAAGCUCGCGGCUGAUUAGCUUGUUGGUAAGGUAAGAGCUUACCAAGGCGACGAUCAGUAUCUGGUUUGAGAGGACGAUCAGACACACUGGAACUGAGACACGGUCCAGACUCCUACGGGAGGCAGCAGUGGGGAAUUUUCCGCAAUGGGCGAAAGCCUGACGGAGCAAUACCGCGUGAGGGAAGAAUGCCUAUGGGUUGUAAACCUCUUUUUUCAGGGAGGAAUCAAAUGACGUGUACCUGAAGAAUAAGCAUCGGCUAAACUCCGUG